UGAAUGGAUAAACGAAAAUUAACCUGUCUCGAUAAAUCACCCAAAAAUUAACCUUCAAGUGAAGAGACUUGAAUUAAAAUAAAAGACAAGAAGACCCUGUAGAGCCUCAACUUAAUUCUAGACUUAAAAAUAAAAUACACAAAAUAUCUAAUACCGUUUCAAUUGGGGCGAUUAAGGAACAUCCAAACCUUCCUUCAAAAAAGGCCUAUAAGCCUAAACAAUGAUCCAAUUUAUGACCAAAAACCAAGGCUACCUCAGGGAUAACAGACUAAUCUUUCUUAAGAGCCCAUAUUAACAGAAAGGAUUGGCACCUCGAUGUUGGCUUAGGAA
rnacentral:rRNA from 1 species